GAUGAACGCUGGCGGCGUGCUUAACACAUGCAAGUCGAACGAAGCAUUUGCGACAGAUUUUUUCGGAAUGAAGUUGCUUAUGACUGAGUGGCGGACGGGUGAGUAACGCGUGGGUAACCUGCCUUGUACUGGGGGAUAGCAGCUGGAGACGGCUGGUAAUACCGCAUAAGCGCACAAUGUUGCAUGACAUGGUGUGAAAAACUCCGGUGGUAUAAGAUGGACCCGCGUCUGAUUAGCUAGUUGGUGAGAUAACAGCCCACCAAGGCGACGAUCAGUAGCCGACCUGAGAGGGUGACCGGCCACAUUGGGACUGAGACACGGCCCAGACUCCUACGGGAGGCAGCAGUGGGGAAUAUUGCACAAUGGAGGAAACUCUGAUGCAGCGACGCCGCGUGAGUGAAGAAGUAAUUCGUGAUGUAAAGCUCUAUCAGCAGGGAAGAUAGUGACGGUACCUGACGAAGAAGCUCCGGCUAAAUACGUG
rnacentral:rRNA from 1 species